rnacentral:lncRNA from 1 species
CAGAUGCACCCAUCAUCUGGGUUUCCAAUGUGCCAUGACACUUCUGCCCUGGCCUGAGGACUAUCAGUCAUUCAUCCAUCCAACAGAGAUACUGAGCUCCUACUUUAUUCCAGAAACAUCUCUGACUUUCACCUGUGCAUCUCACAUGAAGAAGCUCAAUAUUCCAUUCAAUUCUGUCUCAUUCUGAAGUUGCAUUUUGGCUCACUUUGCAAUGAAAAGCAGGAAGACUUGACUACCAUGACCUCUUCCAGUCAAAGGGGAUUGCACAAGAUUAUCCUACUGCACCAUCAUUUUCCAGGAUGCAGGGGAGAGGAGCCGGGGAAUGUUCUUGAGGCUUCUGUGUACUCAGGCAGGGAUUCCUUGCUCUCUUGUUUUUAACCACUCAAGUGCUGCCCACAGUCCACUCUGAGACUGGAGAUAAAUCUGAAUCCAGAAAACAUUGGUUUCAUCACUGCCAUGUUGUUGAAAUCAUAAAACUGCAUAACCAGAGUGCAGAAAGCCAAAUUUUAUAAACACCCUAAUAUAUGGCACAUGACUAAGUGAUAAAUCUUGACAAGAUUACCAAACAAAGGGAAAAUCUUCAUUUGUCUUAGGGAAAGAGAAGUGCUCCCAUGUGUUUGGACAUCAGCACGGUCCACAUGUGGCAAUCAUUGCGCGAAAAAUAAGAUCACGGUAACAGCUGUUGCAAAUUACGGCCUCAUUGAUUAGUGUCUCACUUCCCCCCACCUCCAGCUCUCCACCUCAUCACAAAUAAGGAGACACACCAUCUCCAAGCCUUUGAAGCGAUUUCCCCAAAACCACUUUGGAAUACAUUUGCUCCCAGCAAGUUCCUCUACACCAUCACAAAGUCUUUGCUUUUUGUUUAAGGAGAUCUUGAGUUUUUCUUACACACCCUUAGUGUAUGUUUACUUAAGCACUAAAAUUAAAUACACAUAAUGAAGCCAUCUGUGGCAAACAGAAUUAAUAAGUGGAAUACCAUAUUGCUGUGAAGAUGUGUAUUCAACAAACAUGCAGUCCUCACCAUUCUCUGCGGAACUUGGCAUAUCUCAUGUGUUGCUGAGAAUAUUUGAAUAGGUC